GGAAGGAGGGGAAGCUUACACGGUUGUCGGGUUGUUGAGAAUCCCACUCAGGGCCUGGAAACUGGAGGAAGUGCCCCCGACCACACUGUUUCGAAGCGUGAGGCAUCACUUCCAUGGAGGGUUCCAGGCUUUGAAAACCUAGCAAGAGUGUGAAAGGGCUUUGUAAGGCAUUCAGUGAUUCGUUUCCUCUCGUGGGCCAGCUGCCAUGUCAGGGACCAAGGAUACAGAAGUGCAGGGCAGCCCCGUCCUUGAGUAAUUCUGCAGCUCAUGGGACAGAGAAACACACGAAGCCCAGCACCAUCUGUCUGCCGGAGCUUGGUGCUGUGGGAUGAGAACACUCUAUCUAGCCUGAAGUUCAUGAUAAGGUCUUGCAAGAAGGGGAUUUGAGCUGGGGCUGAGAGGGAGCCGGGCAGUUCUCAGGAAUGGCGAGUCUUAGGGACAGUGUAGGUGGGCAUGGCUGUAGGAUGGCGUGUGUCUAGGAGAGAUGAGGGAAGGAUGGGGACCAGACCAUUAAGGGUCUAAGCCCAAUGCAAGGGAAUGUAUUUCAGUAGCGUGAGGCUGCGUGAGUGGUGACAGGGGUGAGAGGAUCCCAGGGGCGUAGCAGAGGGCUCAGAGCACAGGGAAGGGCCGGGAGCUGUGUGGCUAGAAACACAGUUGGCGGUGGUGGUGAUGCGGGCCAUGGAGGAGAGCUGGGGGUCUAGGAUGGCUUUGGGCUUUGGGACAGGGGAUAACACCAACUGCAAAGGGCAUAUAAGUAAAAGAAGAUGAAUGGGAGGAACAUUGGUUUUGAGCUGGCUAUCAUGACUUUGAAAUGCUCUGAGACCUCUAAGUAAAGAGGUCUCCAUGGCAAGUCAGGAAGAGAAGGAGCUCCAAAAUCUGGUCCCUGCUAGAAAUACAGAUGAGGGACAGGUGUUGCUGGUGAGAGCUGGGACAAGGAUUAGGUCAUGACAAUAUGAGAAUGUACGAUAAGAGGGGAUUUCUUUUCUUACUGAUCUGCCAGAGCUCUUUGUGCGUUAGAGAUAAUAGCUGUGCUUUGAUACCCAUGAGGUGCUUUCCAGAGUCUU
rnacentral:lncRNA from 1 species